rfam:Schistosoma mansoni, Puerto Rico, WGS project CABG01000000 data, contig: 0218
AUCCAGCUGACUAGUCCCAAAUAGGACGAAACGUGUGUCAUGAAU